GCGAUAAAGGAUUCCUAGUGGGUGCUACAGUCUCACCAAUACCAUGCAUCUCAUCUAACAGUUAUUGGUAAUAUGCACACCGAUGUGUAGGUAACUCUUUGCCUAGAUACUUCUCUAAGUAUAUUACAGCGACUUGAUCUCUAAGUAUGUGGACUCACCUAACAGUUAUUACUCACACUCCUUAGUUAAGCCCGACCCACCAUUCACAAGCAGGUACAAGACCAUCAUUGGAUCUCUCACCUGACAGUUAUUGGGCCUAACCUCAUUCUUACCUUGGAGCAACUCUUUGCUAAUAGAGUGGUUGCGUAUUCUCAAUACAACCGAACCACUCUGACUAGUCGAGAACAAUCAACGUCGAUAGCACACCCGCAUAUGUACAAUGAU
rnacentral:lncRNA from 1 species